AGUCAACCAGGCCGGCGUGGGCCGUCCGUCUAAAUCCACUGACCCCAUCCUGACUUCUGACCCCUGGAGCCCAGCAGGACUACGGUGGUGAAGGUGGACCGCGGGAGAGAGAUUGUGAUCACUAAGGACCAGCUGGAGAGCCAAAUCCGA